GAUGAAGAACGCAGCGAAAUGCGAUAAGUAGUGUGAAUUGCAGAAUUCAGUGAAUCAUCGAAUCUUUGAACGCACAUUGCGCCCCUUGGUAUUCCAUGGGGCAUGCCUGUUCGAGCGUCAUUUGUACCUUCAAGCUCUGCUUGGUGUCGGGUGUUUGUCUCGCCUCUGCGUGUAGACUCGCCUCAAAACAAUUGGCAGCCGGCGUAUUGAUUUCGGAGCGCAGUACAUCUCGCGCUUUGCACUCAUAACGACGACGUCCAAAAGUACAUUUUUACACUCUUGACCUCGGAUCAGGUAGGGAUACCCGCUGAACUUAAGCAUAUCAAUAAGCGGAGGA
rnacentral:misc_RNA from 1 species